UACGGAGGGUGCAAGCGUUAAUCGGAAUUACUGGGCGUAAAGGGUUCGUAGGUGGUCAACUAAGUUAUUUGUGAAAUCCCUGGGCUUAACCUGGGCAGGUCAGAUAAUACUGGUAGACUCGAGUAUGGGAGAGGGUAGUGGAAUUUCCGGUGUAGCGGUGAAAUGCGUAGAGAUCGGAAGGAACACCAGUGGCGAAGGCGGCUACCUGGCCUAAUACUGACACUGAGGAACGAAAGCGUGGGGAGCAAACAGGAUUAGAUACCCUGGUAGUCCACGCCGUAAACGAUGUCAACUAGCUGUUGGUCAUAUUAAUAUGAUUAGUGGCGCAGCAAACGCGAUAAGUUGACCGCCUGGGGAGUACGGUCGCAAGAUUA
rnacentral:rRNA from 1 species